rnacentral:rRNA from 1 species
UACGUAGGGUGCAAGCGUUGUCCGGAAUUAUUGGGCUUAAAGGGCUCGUAGGCGGUUUGUCGCGUCGGGAGUGAAAACUCAGGGCUUAACCCUGAGCCUGCUUCCGAUACGGGCAGACUAGAGGUAUGCAGGGGAGAAUGGAAUUCCUGGUGUAGCGGUGAAAUGCGCAGAUAUCAGGAGGAACACCGGUGGCGAAGGCGGUUCUCUGGGCAUUACCUGACGCUGAGGAGCGAAAGUGUGGGGAGCGAACAGG